CCGAUUGAAUGGCUCAGUGAGGCGUCCGGACUGGCCCAGAGAGGUGGGCAACUACCACUCAGGGCCGGAAAGCUCUCCAAACUCGGUCAUUUAGAGGAAGUAAAAGUCGUAACAAGGUCUCCGUUGGUGAACCAGCGGAGGGAUCAUUACCGAGUUUACAACUCCCAAACCCCUGUGAACAUACCACUUGUUGCCUCGGCGGAUCAGCCCGCUCCCGGUAAAACGGGACGGCCCGCCAGAGGACCCCUAAACUCUGUUUCUAUAUGUAACUUCUGAGUAAAACCAUAAAUAAAUCAAAACUUUCAACAACGGAUCUCUUGGUUCUGGCAUCGAUGAAGAACGCAGCAAAAUGCGAUAAGUAAUGUGAAUUGCAGAAUUCAGUGAAUCAUCGAAUCUUUGAACGCACAUUGCGCCCGCCAGUAUUCUGGCGGGCAUGCCUGUUCGAGCGUCAUUUCAACCCUCAAGCCCUCGGGUUUGGUGUUGGGGAUCGGCGAGCCCUUGCGGCAAGCCGGCCCCGAAAUCUAGUGGCGGUCUCGCUGCAGCCUCCAUUGCGUAGUAGUAAAACCCUCGCAACUGGAACGCGGCGCGGCCAAGCCGUUAAACCCCCAACUUCUGAAUGUUGACCUCGGAUCAGGUAGGAAUACCCGCUGAACUUAAGCAUAUCAAUAAGCGGAGGAA
rnacentral:rRNA from 1 species